ACCAAGUUGGUCGAACGACCCACUAUCCUACAAGAAGUCGGCGUUUAGGAGUUGGUAUAGAAGGGGUAUAAGGUAUUGUAAAGAAAAAGAAGAUCUCAAAGAGGAAUUGAACUUCAUAAAAACAGUAGGAAUGCAGCAUGGAUAUAGUGAAACCUUUUACAGAGGGUGUGGAACCAAGUUAGUAUGAGUAGGAAAGAAAAUACGGGAGCAGCUAGAACGGAGAAAGAUUUUAUGAUGGUCCCACACCGUAUGAAAAAUCAUAAUGUGGUGGGGGGGACUGCUGGGAAGAGUGGCGGACGAGUGGCAUAUGAGAGGAGCCCGACAAUCUUUAACAUUUUAAGAAAUGAAAGGGACCCAAAAUGGGAAAGGGGGAGUGUGCAGAGUGCCUUUAGUGGAUAGUGGUGCAGAUGAGGAGUUGGCGUGUAUAGGAGUUACAGCAGGGACGGUGGGAAGACGUAUGGAAGAGCGCAGGGGGGAUAUUGGGAGGGC
rnacentral:lncRNA from 1 species